rnacentral:rRNA from 1 species
GUAAGGAAUAUUGGUCAAUGGAGGCAACUCUGAACCAGCCAUGCCGCGUGCAGGAAGACGGCCCUAUGGGUUGUAAACUGCUUUUGUACCAGAGAAAACCCUUCUACGUGUAGAAGGUUGAUAGUAUGGUAAGAAUAAGCAUCGGCUAACUUCGUGCCAGCAGCCGCGGUAAGACGAAGGAUGCAAGCGUUAUCCGGAUUCAUUGGGUUUAAAGGGUGCGUAGGCGGACUGAUAAGUCAGUGGUGAAAUCUCUCGGCUUAACCGAGAAACUGCCAUUGAUACUGUUAGUCUAGAGUAUAGAUGACGUUGGCGGAAUAUGACAUGUAGUGGUGAAAUACUUAGAUAUGUCAUAGAACACCGAUUGCGAAGGCAGCUAACGAAACUAUAACUGACGCUGAGGCACGAAAGUGCGGGGAUCAAACAGGAUUAGAAACCCGGGUAGUCC